UACUGACGCUGAUGCACGAAAGCGUGGGUAGCAAACAGGAUUAGAUACCCUGGUAGUCCACGCCGUAAACGAUGAUCACUCGUUGUUGGCGAUACAUAGUCAGCGACUGAGCGAAAGCAUUAAGUGAUCCACCUGGGGAGUACGUUCGCAAGAAUGAAACUCAAAGGAAUUGACGGGGGCCCGCACAAGCGGAGGAACAUGUGGUUUAAUUCGAUGAUACGCGAGGAACCUUACCUGGGCUUAAAUGUAUAGUGCAUGAAGUGGAAACACUUCUUUCCUUCGGGACUCUUUACAAGGUGCUGCAUGGUUGUCGUCAGCUCGUGCCGUGAGGUGUCGGGUUAAGUCCCAUAACGAGCGCAACCCCUAUCGUCAGUUGCCAGCACGUCAUGGUGGGGACUCUGAUGAGACUGCCGGUGCAAACCGUGAGGAAGGUGGGGAUGACGUCAAAUCAGCACGGCCCUUAUGUCCAGGGCUACACACGUGUUACAAUGGUCAAGACAAAGGGCAGCCACCUGGUGACAGGGCGCUAAUCCCUAAAUUUGAUCUUAGUUCGGAUCGAAGUCUGCAACUCGACUUCGUGAAGCUGGAUUCGCUAGUAAUCGCACAUCAGCAACGGUGCGGUGAAUACGUUCCCGGGCCUUGUACACACCGCCCGUCAAGCCAUGGAAGCUGGGGGUGCCUGAAGUCCGUAACCGUAAGGAGCGGCCUAGGGUAAAACUAGUGACUGGGGCUAAGUCGUAACAAGGUAACC
rnacentral:rRNA from 1 species